GCAGGCUUGUCCAGAAGAUGCUCUCAAUUCACUUUCCAAUGAGCUCAAAUUCAAGUUUGAUGGUUUGCCCUCAAACACAAAUCUCAGACCAAGCCUUGCCCAGCAGGCUCAAACAGCAACCAUUCAUCCUUUAGGGUUUGAGAUCAACUGUGGAACUGACAACAAAUGUGUUGAUAACCUGAAAGUGGAUUUCAACUUCACCAGAUCCUUAGAGGUUAAAGUGGGCAUUGAUGAGCUUUUGAAUGUCACAGUCUCAGUGGAGAACAGAGGGGAAAACUCCUACAACAGCCGUGUUAUUCUCACGUACCCAGCUGGACUCUCUUACAGGAAGUUCACCAUUCAGCAGGGAAGAAUUGAGUGCAAUUCCUUGGACAGUGAAGAUGGUUUAUCCCGAGGAAGGACAGACUGUACUAUUGACAAGCCAAUUUUCAAGAGCAGAACUAAGGCUUUCUUCAUUGUCUCAUAUGGUAUCGAAACAAACACUCAACUAGAGAGGAAGAUCUUUAU